UCGGAUCAGGUAGGGAUACCCGCUGAACUUAAGCAUAUCAAUAAGCGGAGGAAAAGAAACCAACAGGGAUUGCUCUAGUAACGGCGAGUGAAGCAGCAAUAGCUCAAAUUUGAAAUCUGGCGUCUUCGACGUCCGAGUUGUAAUUUGUAGAGGAUGCUUCUGAGUAACCACCGACCUAAGUUCCUUGGAACAGGACGUCAUAGAGGGUGAGAAUCCCGUAUGCGGUCGGAAAGGCGCUCUAUACGUAGCUCCUUCGACGAGUCGAGUUGUUUGGGAAUGCAGCUCUAAAUGGGAGGUAAAUUUCAUCUAAAGCUAAAUAUUGGCCGGAGACCGAUAGCGCACAAGUAGAGUGAUCGAAAGAUGAAAAGCACUUUGAAAAGAGAGUUAAAAAGCACGUGAAAUUGUUGAAAGGGAAGCGCUUGCGACCAGACUC
rnacentral:rRNA from 1 species